UACGUAGGGCGCAAGCGUUAUCCGGAAUUAUUGGGCGUAAAGAGCUCGUAGGCGGUUUGUCGCGUCUGCCGUGAAAGUCCGGGGCUCAACUCCGGAUCUGCGGUGGGUACGGGCAGACUAGAGUGCAGUAGGGGAGACUGGAAUUCCUGGUGUAGCGGUGAAAUGCGCAGAUAUCAGGAGGAACACCGAUGGCGAAGGCAGGUCUCUGGGCUGUAACUGACACUGAGGCGCGAAAGCGUGGGGAGCAAACAGG
rnacentral:rRNA from 1 species